UACGUAGGGGGCAAGCGUUGUCCGUAAUCAUUGGGCGUAAAGCGCGUGUAGGCGGCUCGAUAAGUCUGCUGUGAAAGUUCAGGGCUCAACCCUGAAAUGCCGGUGGAAACUGUCGAGCUAGAGUACGGAAGAGGUGAGUGGAAUUCCUGGUGUAGCGGUGAAAUGCGCAGAUAUCAGGAGGAACACCAAUGGCGAAGGCAGCUCACUGGGACGUUACUGACGCUGAGACGCGAAAGCGUGGGGAGCAAACAGG
rnacentral:rRNA from 1 species